AGUGAACGCUGGCGGCAGGCCUAACACAUGCAAGUCGAACGGCAGCACGGAAAGUGCUCGUGCUUACGGGUGGGGACUGGUGGGUGGUGGAGGAAAAUAUGCGAAGUUACGUGUGCUAGCGGGAGGAAGCGGGCGCUAAUACGGCAUACGUGCUGAGGGCGAAAGUGGGGGAUCUUCGGACCUUCCGCUAUCGCGUGAGCCUAGGACGCAUUAGCUAGUUGGUGGGGUAAAGGCCUACCAAGCCGACGAUCCGUAACUGGUCUGAGAGGAUGAUCAGCCACACUGGAACUGAGACACGGUCCAGACUCCUACGGGAGGCAGCAGUGGGGAAUAUUGGACAAUGGGCGAAAGCCUGAUCCAGCCAUGCCGCGUGGGUGAAGAAGGUCUUCGGAUUGUAAAGCACUUUAAGUUGGGAGGAAGGGCAGUAAGUUAAUACCUCGCUGUUUUGACGUUACCCACAGAAUAAGCACCGGCUAACUUCGUG
rnacentral:rRNA from 1 species